rnacentral:rRNA from 2 species
UGGCGAACGGGUGAGUAAUACAUCGGAACGUGCCCAGUAGCGGGGGAUAACCUCUCGAAAGAGAGGCUAAUACCGCAUACGUCCUACGGGAGAAAGAGGGGGAUCGCAAGACCUCUCACUAUUGGAGCGGCCGAUGUCGGAUUAGCUAGUUGGCGGGGUAAUGGCCCACCAAGGCUACGAUCCGUAGCUGGUCUGAGAGGACGACCAGCCACACUGGAACUGAGACACGGUCCAGACUCCUACGGGAGGCAGCAGUGGGGAAUUUUGGACAAUGGGCGAAAGCCUGAUCCAGCCAUGCCGCGUGGGUGAAGAAGGCUUUCGGGUUGUAAAGCCCUUUCGGCUGGGACGAAAAGGUCCGCGCUAACACCGCGGAUCCAUGACGGUACCAGCAGAAGAAGCACCGGCUAACUACGUGCCAGCAGCCGCGGUAAUACGUAGGGUGCAGGCGUUAAUCGGAAUUACUGGGCGUAAAGCGUGCGCAGGCGGUCUCUUAAGACAGGUGUGAAAUCCCCGAGCUUAACUUGGGAACUGCGCUUGUAACUGAGAGGCUAGAGUGUGGCAGAGGGGGGUGGAAUUCCACGUGUAGCAGUGAAAUGCGUAGAGAUGUGGAGGAACACCGAUGGCGAAGGCAGCCCCCUGGGCUAACACUGACGCUCAUGCACGAAAGCGUGGGGAGCAAACAGGAUUAGAUACCCUGGUAGUCCACGCCCUAAACUAUGUCAACUGGUUGUCGGGGAAGCAAUUCCUUGGUAACGAAGCUAACGCGUGAAGUUGACCGCCUGGGGAGUACGGCCGCAAGGUUAAAACUCAAAGGAAUUGACGGGGACCCGCACAAGCGGUGGAUUAUGUGGAUUAAUUCGAUGCAACGCGAAAAACCUUACCUACCCUUGACAUGCCAGGAACCCUCCAGAGAUGGAGGGGUGCCCGAAAGGGAACCUGGACACAGGUGCUGCAUGGCUGUCGUCAGCUCGUGUCGUGAGAUGUUGGGUUAAGUCCCGCAACGAGCGCAACCCUUGCCAUUAGUUGCCACAUUCAGUUGGGCACUCUAAUGGGACUGCCGGUGACAAACCGGAGGAAGGUGGGGAUGACGUCAGUCCUCAUGGCCCUUAUGGGUAGGGCUUCACACGUAAUACAAUGGCCGGUACAGAGGGCAGCCAACCCGCGAGGG